AAAAAAAAAAAGAGCCCGCUAAGUUAAUAUUUAUGAAUGAAGAAAAAUUGAAGAGACUUAGGCAAAAGUUAGGGCAUCCUGAUGGACCACAAAUUCAAAAGAAAUGGUCCAUGCAAAAGUAAGGGAUUAAGAGAAAAAAUGGAACAACCUUGUGAAAAAAAGAAGUGAUUGUCAUCUCAAAAAAAAAAACUUCAUCCGUGCUUCGACCAUUGUAUCUAUCUCGGUCAUCAUAGCUACCAAAAUUCUCUUGCCAACUGAAUGCAUCCAUUGAGUUAAUUGAGUUUAGGAAUGGAGGACAUCAAAGGAGAACGGGUGGGAUAAAAUAAAAUUUUGAGCCUUAUAAUCCUUUUUUCAAAAACCGUGAACCAGGUCACGUUAUAACCCUCAAAAGACCUAAUUGAAGCUNNNNNNNNNNNNNNNNNNNNNNNNNNNNNNNNNNNNUGAAAGCAUACUCAGCAAAAUUGUUGUUAAACUGACUCCUCAUGUUUGUGAAUCAUUGCUAAUCAUUUUCUUUCUAUCAUGUUCCUUGUAACAUUAUCCGAUUUCAAAAAAAAUUGCAUGUGAGUUACAUUAAAAUUACUUCUCAAAAGAAACAAUUUCACUAACAAAUCAAUACUUAGCAUUGAGGAAAUUUCAACAAGGGUCUGAUUAAAAGGUGAAUCAUUUCAAGACAUUCUUAACAAGGGGCAAAUCACCUAGGGGUCCUGCUAAUCAAGAGUACAUCCUUAUAAUCAAGGGGCAGAUUAUCCGAAAAUCUUGUUGACUGAGGCCAAAAUGUUUCUAAGGAUGGAUCAAACCUUCGAAGC
rnacentral:lncRNA from 1 species